GCCCGUGUGGGGUAGCUACGGGAGCGGGGGUUCCCCCCGUCCUGCUACAUUGGAUAUCCUAGAGGCCUGCGGAGCCUCAGACCUGGGUUCGAAUCCCAGCACGGGCG
rnacentral:tRNA from 1 species